rnacentral:rRNA from 1 species
AGCAGCCGCGGUAAUUCCAGCUCCAAUAGCGUAUAUUAAAGUUGCUGCAGUUAAAAAGCUCGUAGUUGAAUUUCGGGACCAAUAUGUCGGUCGUGCCUCGGUACGUACUGGCAUCGUUGGUUUCUCCCUUCUGACGAACCAUGAUAUCAUUUAUUUGGUGUUGCGAGGAAUCUGGACUGUUACUUUGAAAAAAUUAGAGUGUUUAAAGCAGGCUAACGCUUGAAUACAUUAGCAUGGAAUAAUGAAAUAGGACGUUCGAUCUUAUUUUGUUGGUUUCUAAGAUUGACGUAAUGAUUAAUAGGGAUAGUUGGGGGCAUUAGUAUUCAAUUGUCAGAGGUGAAAUUCUUGGAUUUAUUGAAGACUAACUACUGCGAAAGCAUUUGCCAAGGAUGUUUUCAUUAAUCAAGAACGAAAGUUAGGGGAUCGAAGACGAUCAGAUACCGUCGUAGUCUUAACCAUAAACUAUGCCGACUAGGGAUCGGCUGAUGUUAAUUUUUUAAUGACUCA